UAGUGCAGUAUAAAUAACAUUAGAUUUGGGACCAUAUGGACUAUGUCCUAUCCCACCCACCCAUGUUUUCACCUUGGGCAAAUCAACCUAGCUUCUCUAAGCCUCAGUCUUCCCAUCCCUAAAAUGGAGGAAAUAAUUAUCUCCAGAGUCUUAGUGAGAAAUGGAUGACGUAUAUACAGUGUCUACCAAUCUUGCCCAUUGUUGGUGCUCAGCAAAUGCCAGAAAAUGUUAAUACAGUAGCUACUCUUACCCACAGGGUAUACAUUUCAAGAACCCCAGGGGAUACGUUCCAAGAACCCCGGGGGAUGCCUGAAACCAUGAAUAGUAGUGAACCCUAUAUAUACCCUGUUUUUUUCCUAUACAGACAUACCUAUGAUAAAGUUUAAUUUAUUUUUUUAAAAAAGUUUAAUUUAUAAAUUAGACACAGUAAGAGAUUAACAACAAUAAAAUGGGACAAUUAUAACAAUAUACUAUAAUAAAAGUUAUGUGAAUGUGGUCUCUCUUUGUCAAAAUAUCUUAUUAUACUCACCCUUCCUCCUGUGAUAAUGUGAGAUGAUAAAAUGGCUGCGUGAUGAGAUGAGGUGAGGUGAAUGACGUAGGUGUUGUGACAUAGCGUUAGGCCACUACUGACUUCCUGGUGGCAUAUCAGAAGGAGCAUCUUCUGCCUCCAGACCAUGGCUGACUGGGUAACUAUAAAUAAAACCAUGGAUAAGGAGGACUACUGUAUAGAUUCUUAGUGAGUGUUUUGCUCUACUAAAAUUUCUUUACUCUUCCUGAUGAAAAGUCACUAUAUUUUGGGGUAUCUUAGACUCUUCAGGGAUAAAAAGAGGUUUGAUGUGAGUGUCUGUAAAUAUACUAGACAAUUAUACUCAUCUCCCCAUGCAAUGUGAUAGAUGGUGGCUCAUUAGCUAAGCUACUGGGCCUGGCAAAUCACAAGAUUCUAAAGAAAUAGUAGAUAGAAGAAGCACAAAUUAGGUAUCAGGGCUUGAUACCCAGGAAGAUUAGGGUAGGCCUCAUAUGGGCUGCAAGGGACCUUAGGGACCAUUUAACUCAGGCUCCUAAUAGCGGAUUACAAAAGACUGAAACCAAAGACAUUGAGUAACUGUUCUGAGACCCUUGACAGCAGAGCAUGGGUCCCAUUUUUCUUCCCUUUCCUUUUUCUUGUUUCCUAGAAGUUCUGAAGGCAGAUGGCAAUGAAUAUUUCAGAAACACUGAGCUUCGGAAGUCAGAAGACUUGAAUUUCUGAGCUCAACUCCUCUCCCUAACUGUAGGACAUGACUACUCAUGUUCCAACCCAGAAUGAUUCUGUAGCACUAAGACUCCAGUUCAGGAUCUGAGGUGGAAAGAAGGAAGGGUGGGCAAAAUCUUUGUGCAAGUUUGUGCAACAGAUUUUAAUUGGUUGUUUAGUGAUUGACUGAACUCUGUCACAAAGGUGGCCCAUACGAAAUGAGAUUCAGAAGCCAGAUGUCAAAAAAAAAAAAAAAAAAAAAACAGAAGCCAGAUGUCUCCUGGUAUAAUUUAGAGAAAGAAAUUAGAGUCGUGGACAUAGAGAAAUGUUGGAGCACAAUUACUAUGUAGAGAACACCUAACCAUUCCCUAAACACAUCUGAGAGAACCAAAAAGAAACACCUCUCACCAAGCCUUGAGUAGUGAAAAAAGAAUCAGUAUCUUUGAAAAAUGCUCAAGUUUCAAUUUGUGAAGACCACAGAUAAUGACAGAAGGCCCUGUAGCUGAAUGGCCUUCUUGAGUUCAUGGAGAAUUUGGGGGGCAGUGGUCCCAUAGCUGCCCUUAGCCCUCCCCACAGGCAAUGAGUGUGCAUUCAGAAUAAGCAACCUUGUAGGGCGCUGCCCUAGGGGUCUGACCUUUGAUCCACAGGGUGUCUACCCUUCCUGUCCCUCAGUUUCUUCUUUCGUAAAAUAAAGCCACAUUUCUGGGGCACCUGGGUGGCUCAUCGGUUAUGCAUCCGACUUUUAAUUUUGGCUCAGGUCAUGAUCUCAGGAUUCGGGGAUUGAGCCCCAUGGCAGGCUCCACACUCAAAACAGAGUCUGCUUGAGAUCCUCUCUCUCCCUCUGCCCCUCCCUCUGUGUGCACACAUAUUCUCUCUUUCAAAUCAAUCAAUCAAUCAAUCAAUCAAUCAAUCAAUCUUUAAAGUAAGCUGAUCUUACUUUAAUCGCGUCAAUAAUCUGAAUUCCCUUUGCCAUGGAACCUAACAUUAUCAUAGAUUCUGGGGUCCAGAGACAUGGAAGGGGGCAUUAUUUUGUUUAUCACAUCCAACAAUUAGGUGUACCACUUUAGGCAAUCACUUAACUAUAUUUCUCAGUUUCCUCAUGUGUGUGGCUGACGUGCUGCAAUAAUUAAAUGAGACAAAUGCACGUCAGGCCCUUAGCACAGUUGCUAGAGCACAAUAAGCACUCAGUCUGUAGUGUUCUCUUUCCUUCCUCAAAAAUAAACACAUAUACGAUGUAGAACUCCAAAGCAUGUAUCGUAUCCUGAACCACAGUGCCCUAAAAUGCUGCUUACGGCUACAUCUUGGCAUUCUUUUUUUAAAUUUAACUUUAUUUAUGUAUUUAUUUAUUUAAUUUAUUUUUUUUUAGUGGGCUCUACCCCCAUCAUAAAGCUUGAACUCACAACGUCUAGAUCUAGCUCUAGAUCAAGGGCUGUAUGCUUUACCAACUGAGCCAGCCAGGCACCCCCAAUCCUGGCAUUCCUAAUGGAGGGGCAGCAAAGACUGAGAGCCUGCCUUGUGCCCAGGUCACAUGCUCCUUCCCCGCACUCCGGACAGCCCAUGCACACCACCCUCGAGGUUUUUGGCACUUGGCAGUGAUUGUCCUGGAAAGGAAGUACUCUCGUGGUAUCCUCGGGGGGACAAAUGAAUCACUGAGUGUGGGCCUGGCAAAUAGUUCAUCCUUCUAUGAAUGGUGACAGAUAUUCAAAGAGAAACAGUGCUCAGUGCCCAGUGACUUACCUCGGACACAAAGGAAAUACCAGUGAUACUUAUUGUUCUGAGCACCCUCACAUUCCCAAUGUCCAUUGAGCCUCCAAUUCUGGGAAGUGGGCAGGGAGGCCACCAUCGGGGGUUGCUGGGGAAAUUGAGGAACAUAAGGUAGAGGACUUGACCACGGUGACACAGCCUACCAGGUCUGGCAUCCCGACCUCCACCCCUGGAGCUCUCCACCUCUGCUGGGCCUGCCCUAGCCUUCUCCCAGCCACUGAACAGCAAAGGGGGUGAGUUGGCCUCUCUUAGGUUACAUCCCCUUCUCCACUUGGCCUCCUCCUCUGCCCCAACCUCCAGCCAGGAGAGUUGCCACAGAGCCAUUUCUGACCACGUACCUGGGUAGCAUCUCUUCCUCCUUCACCAGGCUUCUUCUGCCCGUUGCCCCCCAGCACUCCACUGGGUACUUAAUUACACUCAGUCUCCUACAGGUGGCUGGUCCUGGUUUGAUUCUGCUCUGUCCUAAUUCCUUGGGUUGAACUAAAUUAGUGAAAAGAGGAGAGAGAAGUAGGUAAUCCUCCAUUUUAGGGGUUCUUACCUUGGGCGUAAUCCUCCCCAGCACCCAGAAAAUCUGUAAAAGUUGUGGGGGGUGCAUUUCGGGAUAUUACAAUGGGUUGAGGGAGUCCCUGCAUUCCACAGGUGGAGUGGGGUGCUGAUCAUCCUGCAAGAUGAGGGACAGCUCCCUCCCCACGUGACAGCAAAGAACUGUCCCAUACACAGUGCCAUGAGCGCCCCACUGAGAACCUGGGCUCUGAUCGGACAAUCAGCUCUCAUUCGGACUGUUAGAACCACUUCUAUUCGGUGAUGAUGAUUGUGACUUAUAACUCUUCCUCAGGCGACCAAAGCUGUUAAAGGUUAAGAAGAGCUUGUUGUUGUUGUUGUUUUUCAUGAAAUGGCUGAUUCGCAGCUCAUCACUAGGUAGCAUGGUGUAGCAGACAGAGAUCUCGGGUGAAAACAGCCACCAGGAGCACAGAUUCUGAAGCCACGCUGCCGGGGUGAUGUUGUGGCUUUGCCAUUUACAAGCUUUAGGGUCUUGGCAGGUUAGUCUUUCUGUGUCUCAGCUCUUACUACUUUUUAUAAAUUAGGUACAACUUAGCUACCCGGUUUUGUUAGGCUUGGCACAUAGUAAGAGUUACUGAAUGUUAAAUAUCAUUAUUAAAAUCAUUGCCAUCUAUGGGACCUGGGGCAAGAUAUUUCUCAGCUCUGUGUCUGUUUCUUCUCAUGAGAAUAGAGAUAAUAAUACCUACUUCAAAGUGUUUUUAUAGGAUCUAAUGAGAAAACAUGUGUAAAGGGCAAAUAUAGCACAGAUGAUGCUCGUCACAACUUCAUGAAGGUGUUACCCCCAUUUUACAGGUAAGGAAACUGAGGCUUACAGAGGUUAGGUAACUUGGCCACAGAUACACCACUAUCUGGGAUUUGAACCAAGGCUAUUUGGGUCUAGAUCUACUGUGUCCAACCACCAUACCCUAUAGCUGCUUUUCCCAAGGAAGCAGCUUAGAACAACACUUGGUAGCUUAUGAGUAUCCCUGGCUGGCAAAGAGACAGUUCUGACCCUUAGCUGGGCCCUCGGCCAGGUAGCCGGUGGCAGGAUGCCCAUCUCUCUUCCCCAAGUGACAGUGUUAUGUGAGGGAGUGGCUAGGAAUCCAGAAUCCAGAAACCUGGAAUCUGGUUCUUGCUCUCUUGUUUCCAUGGCAUCCAUGCGCAGGUCUGGCAACCAUGCAGGGCUUUGGUUUCCUUCAGGAGAAGGAGGUUAAGGGCCCAGAGAUGUUACAGUGAUGAGAGGCUGGAGAAAGGGCAUACCUUGGUGUCCCACUAUCUCUGUUAGCGGGAGCAUCUUCCUGGGAUGUGACUUUCAACAGAGCCAGUUUGAGGCAAAACCUCUGGUUUCUCCUUGGACUAUGCACAAAAGCGAGGGGGCUCCUGCAACAUCAAAGGGAAUCAAUCAACAAAGUGAUACAGGGGCAUCCUCUCGAGGACCAGGCAACAGAGGAUGAAUGUUCUAAAAGGCAAGGGGAGAGCACUCCCAUGGAUUAAGCACCUAGUGUGUACAAAGAAGCUCACACUCCUGGUCUUGCUCUGGCCCCACAUCAACCACAAUGAAGAGUGUUGGGGUUGGGGUGGAGGCAGUGAGGGACAGUGGUUAUCAGAUUAAGGCAAUAUGGCCAAGACUUAUUACAGUCAGACAGGCAUGGGGCCAGGUCCCAACUUUGACACUUAGGAAGAGCUGAAUGCCCUCAACGAGAUGUCUAAUCUCACUGUGCCUCAGUUUCUUCUUUUGUAAAAUAAAGCCACAUCCCUAAAAAUUUACUGAAAGAUGAUACAUGUAGAGUGCUCACCACAGCACCUGGCUCAUGACCACAUCUAGAUAAAUGGUAGUUAUUAUUGGCUACAAUUAUGGGAUUGUAAUGGCUGAACACUAAGGAGAUGAAGGGGGGGGGGGCUUAUUUUUCCUUCCACUUCCGUCUCUCCCAAAUACUAAUUUUAUUUAUCAUUUUAAGCCCACAGUGCAUUUGUAACAAGUGCCAGGGCUUUUGGUCUUCUCACUAAGCUAUAUUGACUCUUGCAAGAAGGGAAGUAUAUUAAAUUAACAUUACUGAUGUGUUGUGAUGGUAAAAAGAUAUUGAUGCUCCUGGCCAGAGGGCCACAGUUGGAGAAUCGCUGAGCUAGACCAACAAGAGGACAGAUCUGUAUCCUUCCUGUGGAUUUCUUUUUCUUGGAGAAAGUGGUUUAUUUGUUUUCACUGAGUCACCUAAUGAGGCUGCAUGGGUUGUGCUACUAUCUCUGGUUGAGUAGCCUGAGAACAGGGUUAGAGACAAUACCUGAAAUAGAGCCCAGUCUGGGGUGCAGAGGGUAGGGGACCCAGGGCCCACUUAGGAAGUAGGUUCCUCGUCUACACGGUGUCAGGGCUGUCCCUGUCCACUUGCCUCACCCGUACAAUACUCUCCUCCCAGGGCCUGCAGGGCUUUCUUCAGAGUUGGGCUGACUCACCUCCCAGGGCAGAGCCGGGGCCAUGGGCACUCGCUGGCAACCUAGGGUAAUUUGACACUGUACUCAAAUAGACACUUGGAAGAAUAGACCCCUCUUUUUUUCAUGGUAGCUCUUGGCAGGUGGGGGUGACCUGCACGCUGCAGACACUGCUGAGGUCUGGACAGCCUGGUGAUUUGGCCAGGUACUCUGCUCUCUCGGGUCUGACACUGCCUGUUGCCUCUGCACAUGGCAUUUGAUGGCACUUGUUAACUUCGCAUCAGAUGUCAAUGUUGUUUUGAUGUUCCAUUCCUCUGUCACCUCCUGUCCCAGGCUCAACCACCUGAAAUAGCUUGGCACUUCUGGAUAUCUUCCCUAGAGAUAACUCUGACUAACUGUCUCCCCAUAACCCCCCCACACCCUCACCCCAUCCCUCUGGCCAGUGUGUCAGUGAGCAUGUGAGAGGACUGAUGUUUUUCAUAUACUCCCUGGGGCCUUGGUGGUGGUGGUAAACCAUUUCAGCAAUAGAGAUUCGUUUUGCUGGAGAACGAUGUGACAUCCCAGUGAAUGCCAGUCACAAGGGAAGAUUCCCAUUGUGUGGGGCAGAGUUGUAACCCUUCACAUUUAUGGCAGGUCCUCCCCUCUGGAGUCCUGGGCACAGCUCUGCCAUCAGCCAGAACAGUAGGGCUCUGCAUCUGGCAGGAUUCUUUCUGCAGAAUCAUAGAUAAGCUGUUCCCUUUUUAUUUCCAGCACUGCAAAGAAAUGACAAAAUCCAGGGCCAGAGUUUGCACAGACUAAAUAGAGCUGGCAAAGAUCUGAGAGCUCAUAGAGCCAAAGGGUGGCAAAUAAGUUUUAUUCUGUACCAAUUGCUAAGGGUUGCAUGACGCUCUGCAUUAGAAGCCCAAUGUGAGCUCAGGGGGAAACAGUGUCCUGAUUUUAUUUUAUUUAUUUAUUUUUUUAGUGCCCUGAUUUUAUAAUCAUGUCUGUCUUGCGCAUAGGAUGGGAGGGUAGCCAUUCAUGCGUCAUACAGUGUAUUGCUAUCGCUAACCCCGCUCGAUUUAUGGAACAGGAAACUCAGUCCCAAAAGGAUGAAAAGAGCUUUCCCAGUUCACAUAACUUGUUAGUGGUAGAUUUAAGACAAGGACCCAGGUUUUUAACAGGAAUUCAGUACAUUUCCAUUCUCAUAGGAAUAGUGUCCAUGGACAUAAGUAAGCCUGAGUUCAAAUACCGAGUCAUCAUUUAUCAGCUUUGUGACCUUGGGCUAUCAUUUAACACCUCUGUGCUUCCGUUUCCUCCUUUGUAAAUGGAAUAAAAUCAUCCACCUCCUUAUUGGGAAAAUUUAGUGUGACAAUGGUAUGUGUAGCUCAAAGCCUUAUGCUUCAAUGUUUAAUUUCUUUAUUUUUUUUCCAACAGAAAAUGAUAUGCAUCAUUAAGAUGACAUCCUUAGGGGUAGUUUGCACACCAUGGCAGUGAUUUAAUUGUGUAAUUGUAGAUCUGGUGUGUUCCCUUGUGAAUUCAGGGUUUGGGAUUAGAUUAUCUUCAAGUUUCUUCCAGCUUAAGAAUUGCUAUGAUUGUAAAUAAAUAACUUUGAAGGGUUUUUCUUGAGUUAUUUCUGUAAGCAGGUAUUUGGUAAAUGAGCCCUAGAAGAUUUUCUGGAGUCAAACCAAGGUCUUUGCAGGUGCAGAAACCAUUUGCAGCAUUCUAAUGUUUUCUGUGUUGUGCAGCUCAUGGCCUGAAACCUUGGUACAUCACACUCCGUUGUACUAAUGGCUUUCCUUCCCGGUUGCCUGCCGGGGAUGGGAGCCUUGCAAGGACAGGAACUGGUGUGCAUCAUUGUGGUGUCCCAGAACCCCACACAGGGCUUGGUUGCUCAGCCCAAGGUGGUUGGCUUCAUCUCUGGGGUUUGAGGAAGGGUGUUCAAGGCUUAGCCAUGGCUAGGGACUGGGAACUUGCAAAGUCCAGAACUGAAUGAACCUGGAACUCAAGGACUUUUGUCCCAUUACUUCCUUCACAGCCUCUUGACUUUUCCAUACAUGAAACAGGGAAGCUGCUGAGUGAUCGCUCUGCCCUAGAGGCAGGAGCUGAAGAGGCAAUUCAAAAAAUCUGCUGCUCCUGUGGCAGGGAACUUGUUGAAGCCACAAGACAUUGGUAUGAGCAGCUGUACCUCCUCUGAGAGCCAUUUUGGGUUAACCAAAGCAUUCUGCCCAUAGGAGGAAGGCAGGGAGUGAGGAGAGAAUCAGGGCCAGAGGGCCUGGCUCAAGUGAGAUUUAUAAAUAGGAACAUGGAAACUCACAGAAGAAGCCAAGCAAGGCAAAGGAGAAUGGGCAGGUCUCAGUGAGACCAUUCUAAGACGUAAAUAGCUAAUGAGCGAGAAGCCAAACUUCUUGGAGACUCUUUGGGGGCCAAUAUGUAACUGUUUCCCUAGACUGGGAUCACAGAAGCACCCAGAGGGACGAAAGAAAGUUUUGAUGCUUACACUGUUCAUUCAUUUAUUCAAGCAAUGUGUACUCCCGCCCCAUGUACACGUGCUAGAUACAGGGGGAAAGAAUCAUAAUUAAGGCAUUGUCUUAAUUAACCUGUUUCCAGGUUGCCAGAAAUUUAACCAGAGAGGAAGACUCAUAUAUAGCUUACUGAGGCAGUUGCAAUUACCACUACGCCCUGCACAUCUUGCUUUGUAUUAUAUUGUGUUUCUCAUGGUGGAGAAACCAUGGAGAGAUUUUUUCUGACUGAACUCUUUGGCUCCUCCUUGGAAAUGCAUCCCCCUCUUUGUGGGGUAUUGUCCCCAGCCUAUCCUAACCU
rnacentral:lncRNA from 1 species